rnacentral:rRNA from 1 species
CACGGGGGGAGCAAGCGUUGUUCGGAAUCACUGGGCGUAAAGGGCGCGUAGGCGGCUCGGCACGUCCGUUGUGAAAUCGCCCGGCUCAACUGGGCGGGGUCGGCGGAUACGGCCGAGCUGGAGCAAGCUAGGGGGUAAUGGAAUUCCCGGUGUAGUGGUGGAAUGCGUAGAUAUCGGGAGGAACACCAGUGGCGAAGGCGGUUACCUGGAGCUUUGCUGACGCUGAUGCGCGAAAGCGUGGGGAGCGAUCCGG